rnacentral:rRNA from 1 species
CCAGACUCCUACGGGAGGCAGCAGUGAGGAAUAUUGGUCAAUGGGCGAGAGCCUGAACCAGCCAAGUCGCGUGAGGGAGUACUGCCCUAUGGGUUGUAAACCUCUUUUGUCGGGGAGCAAAAGCCGGACGUGUCCGUCUGUGAGAGUACCCGAAGAAAAAGCAUCGGCUCACUCCGUGCCAGCAGCCGCGGUAAUACGGAGGAUGCGAGCGUUAUCCGGAUUUAUUGGGUUUAAAGGGUGCGCAGGCGGAUUUUUAAGUCAGGGGUCAAAUCGCGGGGCUCAACCCCGCUCCGCCGUUGAAACUGUGUCCCUUGAGUGCGCGAAGGGUAGGCGGAAUGCGUGGUGUAGCGGUGAAAUGCAUAGAUAUCACGCAGAACUCCGAUCGCGAAGGCAGCCUACCGGCGCGCUACUGACGCUCAUGCACGAAAGCGUGGGUAUCGAACAGGAUUAGAUACCCGUGUAC